AACGUGCUCCGGGGUCGGUGAGAAUCCGAACCGGCGGUGACAGUCCGCGAACCGAGGAUCCGACCGGGAUCCGAGGCCGAUCCGGUGGAAUUCCGGGACCGACGGUGAUGCGAGCGAGAGCUUGCGAGUCCGGAUGAGAGGAAGCACGCA
rnacentral:ncRNA from 1 species